GAAAUGCGAUAAUUAAUGUGAAUUGCAGAAUUCAGUGAAUCAUCGAGUCUUUGAACGCACAUUGCGCCCCCUGGUAUUCCGGGGGGCAUGCCUGUCCGAGCGUCAUUGCUGCCCUCAAGCACGGCUUGUGUGUUGGGCUUCCGUCCCUGGCAACGGGGACAGGCCCAAAAGGCAGUGGCGGCACCAUGUCUGGUCCUCGAGCGUAUGGGGCUUUGUCACCCGCUCCCGUAGGUCCAGCUGGCAGCUAGCCUCGCAACCAAUCUUUUUAACCAGGUUGACCUCGGAUCAGGUAGGGAUACCCGCUGAACUUAAGC
rnacentral:misc_RNA from 1 species